CUUUCUAAUAUAUGACUAAACCCGAUAUAUUAUCAGUUAUAUUUAUGUAUCAGCUAUAUUUAGUCAAGGUUUAGUUUCAAAAAAUUCUGUUUUUGAGGUGUGAAGUGAAGUGUACGCCACUGCAAUAGUCGCGGUAGCUUAUGCCCGACCAGGCGGUGGUUAUGAUCACUUGGAAUUGGCUGGAGGAUACGAUGACAGCGGCCAUUUCGGAGGCGAAGAUGCCACCAGCUAUUCACAUGUUGCUUCAACUGCCAACGAAAUUGGUCACGGCGACGAAGGAUACCAUAGUUCUGACCAUGACAUCGACUAUCAUGCACCUGCUAAAUACCAUUUCGAUUACGCCGUUCACGAUUUACAUACUCAUGAUAUUAAAUCACAAUGGGAAACUAGAAAUGGCGAUCGAGUAAAAGGAGAAUAUACUAUCGUGGAGCCCGAUGGUAAUAGAAGAAUAGUUUCUUACACAGCAGACAAACAUUCCGGAUUUAAUGCUAUUGUUAAAAACGUUCACGAUUAUUAAUAAGUUAUCAAUAGUUUGAGAAGUCAAUUAACUAGUCAAACUGAUACCGUAGUAAAAGAUAAUAAAUUAUUAACAUUUGGCAUUCAUUUUGAAUGCAAUAAUAAGAUUCAAUGCGUUCUAUUUAUUCUUCACAAAAGAUGGAAUUCUUUAUUGAUCCAAGUUGAUUUUUAUUUAUUUACCAAUUAUUUUGUUUAUUUAUAACAAAACAUAAUUAACCUUAUUUCUCAUUCAACAAUUUAUAACAAUACUUUAUAAUGUUUCAUUAUUGUCAGAUCUCAUCAAAAUAUAUUUGCUUUCCAAAAUGCUUCACCAAUCCUUUUCAUUUCUUUUUCCAGUAAAAUUUAUGGCGGUUUAUUCUCCUAAAGCUUGAUUUUCUCUUUUUCCAUUUGUUCUUCUUCUCUAUUCUUCUUUUCUUUUCACUCCGACGUAUAUUAUUUUCUUGGCUCAUUAUUCCAUCUUUUGUUCUCCAUUUGAUUGAGUACACAUAUUCUACAAUCCUAGAUUGCACAUGGUCUAAUUGAUAUAUUGUUUUUGUCUCUCUCUUGAGACUUUUAAUGAUCUCAGUAAUUAUUUUUUCAAUUAUCGACAUUCUUAAUAUAGAUUUGAAGUUAGGUUGACAAAUGUAUUGAUUAACGUAUUGGUUUGAUUAGAUAAGUUUGUUUUAAGUUAUUCCUACAUCAGUAUUCCUUAUGUUUCAAUUUAAGCAAACAAUAAACUAUCAAUUUUCAAUCAUUAGAUACUGGAAGGUUAUUCACAUAUUGAUAAUAUCUUCAAAAUGUGAAAGAGUUUCAGGUACCUAAGACAGGGUGAACAAAAGGUAUGAUUGUUGAAAUUAUGUAUUUUUCGGAAGUUUCCAUAAUAAUAGAUUUUAUUACUUUGUCGCCACUAUAUAUAGUAUCUAAAUUUAUUAAGUUAUUUUAUAUUGGUUACCUACUACUUAAUUAUGAAAUCGACUAUAUUAUAAUUCUUCAUAAAUCGUUUCAUUUAUAAUUAUGUUAGAUGGGAACAAUUUACCAACUAUUUACUUCUGGUAGCGUUUUUAUUUAGCUUCAAGUUGUUACUUCACCUUACAUCUUCUGUAGUCUUUGAAGUCAUUCUUUUUUUUCUUAAAUUAAUUGUUUAUAUUCCAAAUUUAAAUUUUUUUCACUAAUAGUAGGGCAGAGUUUUUUUCUAAAUAUUUGUUACCCACAUUCUUCUACCUUAGAAAUUAGAAGCAAAACUUUUUUUAAUAAUGUCAAUGCUACUUUUUGUUCACUCAUUCAAAUUUAUUAAUAUAAGAAUAUUUACUAGUUGAAUUCUUGCCUUAUACUACGUAAUAAGUUUUUUAGAUUUAUCGUUAUUUGGAUUUCUAAAACAAAGUUUUGAAUCUAAACGUUCUGUGAGUAACACAGAUGGAUUUGCCGAUUAUACUGUUCUUUGAAACACUUCAUUAUCUAACAAAUUCUGUGGUUUUUACUUACAAAUAAUCACCAAGUUGAAAUUAAGGUUUGAAAUGAUUAUAAUUAUGGAUUCUCAUGCAUUGAGAAUUCCAAAUAUUCCAUAGAUUCUAGACUUAUUUGGAAAUUAUGCCCAAAUAACUAAUGUUCAAAGUAAAUUUUUUUGUAUCCAUCAAGAUUCUAUAUUUUUAAUUUCAGUGCUAUCCAUCACCUAUUUUGUUCUUUUUGCAAAUGAUUUACAUUAUGACACCUCAUUUGUGUCGUGGCAGUCAAUGUCUUAAGUGUUUUAUAUUAAGUUUUUUAAAACUGCUUCCAAAAUGUAAAUGCCGAUACUAUGGACUUCUGCAUUAUUAAAAGUUUAUUUUUUUAA